rnacentral:rRNA from 1 species
CAAUAGCGUAUAUUUAAGUUGUUGCAGUUAAAAAGCUCGUAGUCGGAUUUUGGCUGAGAACGAUCGGUCCGCCGUUAGGUGUGCACUGAUUGGUCUCAGCUUCCUGGUGAGGAGGUGUGCUUCACGGCCACUUAGUCACAGUGGUUACUUUGAAAAAAUUAGAGUGUUCAAAGCGGGCUUACGCUUGAAUAUAUUAGCAUGGAAUAACACCAUAGGACUCCUGUCCUAUUUCGUUGGUCUCGGGACGGGAGUAAUGAUUAAGAGGAACAGUUGGGGGCAUUCGUAUUUCAUUGUCAGAGGUGAAAUUCUUGGAUUUAUGAAAGACGAACUUCUGCGAAAGCAUUUGCCAAGGAUGUUUUCAUUGA